rfam:Gossypium arboreum cultivar AKA8401 contig_25376_1, whole genome shotgun sequence.
UUUGGCACAUCAUAUUGUCCCAUAUUCUCCCCUUUCGUUUGGCACAGAUCCCAUCAGAACUCCGCAGUUACGUGUGCUUGGGUGAGAGUAAUACUAGGAUGGGUGACCUCCUGAGAAGUCCUUGUGUUGCACCCC